GAUCCUGGCUUAGGAUGAACGCUAGCGGCAGGCUUAACACAUGCAAGUCGAGGGGCAGCGGGAUGUAGCAAUACAUUGCCGGCGACCGGCGGAUGGGUGCGUAACGCGUAUGCAACCUACCUUAUACAGGGGAAUAACCUUUCGAAAGGGAGACUAACACCCCAUGGUAUUGAUUUAAGGCAUCUUAGAUUAAUUAAAUAUUUAUAGGUACAAGAUGGGCAUGCGUAUGAUUAGCUAGUUGGUAAGGUAACGGCUUACCAAGGCGACGAUCAUUAGGGGUUCUGAGAGGAAGGUCCCCCACACUGGUACUGAGACACGGACCAGACUCCUACGGGAGGCAGCAGUGAGGAAUAUUGGUCAAUGGGCGCAAGCCUGAACCAGCCAUGCCGCGUGCAGGAAGACGGCCUUAUGGGUUGUAAACUGCUUUUACAUAAGACUAACCGUAUAUUUGCGAAUAUACCUGAAUGUAUUAUGAGAAUAAGGAUCGGCUAACUCCGUGCCAGCCGCCGC
rnacentral:rRNA from 1 species